UAUUUAUAUAAUAUAAAAAUUAUAUUUGACUUCCAAUCAAAAAAUCUAUUACUUAGUAUAAAU
rnacentral:tRNA from 1 species